rnacentral:rRNA from 1 species
GACGUAGGGCGCGAGCGUUGUCCGGAUUUAUUGGGCGUAAAGAGCUCGUAGGCGGCUUGUCGCGUCGUCCGUGAAAACUCACAGCUCAACUGUGAGCUUGCGGUCGAUACGGGCAGACUAGAGUUCGGUAGGGGAGACUGGAAUUCCUGGUGUAGCGGUGGAAUGCGCAGAUAUCAGGAGGAACACCAAUGGCGAAGGCAGAUCUCUGGGCCGUAACUGACGCUGAGGAGCGAAAGCAUGGGGAGCGAACAGG